UUAUUAUAUAUUUUUUUAUUUUAUUUUUUUUUAUUUUUAUUGUUUUUAGUAAAAUAUUGUUUUUGUUUUUGUAUUUUAUAUUGAUUUAAUUUAUUUAUGAUAGUUUAUUUGUACUGUAUGGGAAUAAAUGGAUAUUUAUAUAAGUUGAUUUUAUUUAUUGUACCUUGUGUAUCAGGAUUUAUUUAAAAUUAAUAUUGAUUUAUUGUUCUCGAUUUUAUUUGAGUUAAUUAACUAUUUUUUUUUAUUGUUUUAUAAUUAUUUAAAAUAGUUUAUUGGUAAUGAAAUGUUAUUCGUUUUUAAUGGUAUCUAGUUUUCUAAGAAAAAAAUUUAAUUUUUGUUUAUUUUUUAUUUUCUUAUUUUUAAGGAGUAUUUUAUUUAAUACUAAUAUCAUGAGGGAUUAGCUUAUUGAUUUAAUACUAUAAUUAUUACUAUUUUAUUUUGUUUUAUGGAUUUAAUAUUAAUUAUUGAUUUGAUAAAAUAUAAUUUUUAUUUUUUAUUUGUUAUUUUUUUUUAUUUAUUUAGGUUUUUUAUUAGAUUAUAAAUUUUAAUUAAUUAAUUAUUAUAUAUUAUUAUUAUAUAAUUAGUAUAUUUAUUUAAUAUAAUUUUUAUUUGUUUGUUUAAGUAGUUUAAAUUAAUUAGGCAAAUAUUAUUCUCGAUUGUUUAUCAAAAACAUUUUUUUUUGUUUUUAUUUAAGAUAUGACCUGCCCACUGAUUUAUUGAAUGGCCGCGGUAUUUUGACCGUGCAAAGGUAGCAUAAUCAUUAGUCUUUUAAUUGGAGACUGGAAUGAAAGGUUGAACGAAGUACUGACUGUUUUUUUAUUAUUUGUUAUUGAAUUUAAUUAUUUAGUUAAAGGGCUUAAAUUUUAUUAUGGGACGAGAAGACCCUAUAGAUUUUUACAUUAAUAUAAUUAUUUUUGUUUGUUUAUUUUUAUUAUUUAAUUUUUGUUUAGUUGGGGUGACUUAAAGAUAUACUUAACUCUUUAUAUUUUUAUAUACUUUUUUGUAUUAUUUUUGAUCCAUUAUUAUUGAUUAUUAGAUUAAAUUACCUUAGGGAUAACAGCGUUAUUUUUAUUAAGAGUUCUUAUUGACAUAAAAGAUUGCGACCUCGAUGUUGGAUUAAGAUUAAUUUUGGGUGUAGAAUUUCAAAUAAUUAAGUCUGUUCGACUUUUAAAAUCUUACAUGAUCUGAGUUCAAACCGGUGUAAGCCAGGUUGGUUUCUAUCUAUAAUUUUUUUAAUAUUCUAGUACGAGAGGACCGAAUAUAUUUGAAAUAAUUUUUGUUUUAUGUAUAAUAUUAAUU
rnacentral:rRNA from 1 species